ACGGCGAGGAUCGUGGACCAGUGCAGCAAUGGCGGCCUCGACCUCGACUUCGAGACGGUGUUUAAGAAGAUCGACACCGACGGCCGCGGCUACCAGAUGGGUCACCUCGACGUCGACUACCAGUUCGUAGGCUGCUGAGAUCCGGCGGCGCGACAUGAGGAGCGUAUCAGAUCGAUCGAGAGGUGUGGUGUUGUGGAAUAAGAAUAAGAUGCAGCUGGAGGAUGCAAACUCUUACAAAAACAGUACUAAAUAAAUGAAACUUCACCAUAAAUAAUGUAUGUUUUUUAAUACAUAAAAAUACAUAACAGAUUCUUCAACUCGAGCGGGAAUUUGGUUUAUCGCAAACUAUAAACUUUUGUACAGUUGUUAACACUAAUUAGGCCACACUAAUAAGAGCAUAUACAGCGUAGCGUUUCUAGCCGUUUGUAAGUCAGUGUAUCUUGAAAAAAGGAUCCUAACUACACUACUGCUGGCCGGCCCUUUGCCGAGUGCUUGGGACACUGGCCAAAGGAGUCUUGGCGGACAAAUAUUCGGCAAAGGCUCAUUUACCGAGUGUUGAAGGCGGACACUCGACAAACACUUUGUCGAGUGCUAGGGUGGCACUCGGCAAAGAAAAGCCAUCGCGACGGCCUUGGCCACGUUAACGGUCACCUUUGCCGAGUGUCGCCAUCCGGCUCUCGGCAAAGACUUUUUAAAUUUUCUUUUUCAUACAAAAUUUAUUUGUCGAGUGUCGCCAUUUGGCACUCGGAUUGGGAGAUCGGGCAAGAAAAUCCUAGUACCUCGAAGCACAGGAGAAGAAGAGGCUGAGUCCAAGCGAAAGAAGACCUCCCAGCGACCACCAACACCUCCCAUGCUUCCUCCUUGGCUUGGGAAAGCACUCCUCAAAGGGAUUUGAAAAUGGAUAGAGGAGGGAAGGAGAUCGGGGAAGGGCAAGCACCAACGGCAGCACCGGUUGUGGUGGAAAGGAAAACGGGGGGAGUAGGCACGUGGACUGAGAAAGAGAUAAGGUCAAAGAAGGGGCCCGAGGGUGACUUAUAUACCGCAGUCAAAAACAACUACCUGUAUUACCAGUUUGGGCAACCGGUACCAUCGGUGGCUGAGAAGCGCAGAUUGCGGUUUGGCAUGAAAAUGAACUACCGGUGGUAUCGGGGUUUUACCGGCACUACAGUUCAGGACCGGUACUACCGAUCAUAACCAUCGGUACUACUGGUGGUUCAAAUAUCAGCCAAAGAAAAAGUGUGCCUUUGUCAAGUGCCAAGGACCGACACUCGGCAAAGACUGAGCCUUUGCCGAGUGCUAACGUCCAACACUCGGCAAAAUAGUGAUCUUGGGUGCCGCCGUUAGCGGGAAGACCUUUAUCGGUAGGCCCUUUUUGUCGAGUGUUCGACAGUCGGCAAAUAUCUUCUUUUUGCCAAGUGCCUUCCUUUACCGAGGGUCAGACCCUCGGCAAACCCUUGUUUGCCGAGUGUCUCCUUUGCCACGAGCAGGAACUCGGCAAACUAGCUCUUUGCCGAGUUCCCGCCUUUUGGCACUCAACAAAGAGGCGAGCACUCGACAAAGCGUGUGUCUACCGUAGUGCUAGUAAGGGCAUGGUUGUCGAUCGCUCCACAACCUACCUUGCCCAUCGGAUGACCAAUACUGCCCACUCGACGCGGCCCAUAUGGCCUAAGGUAAUUGAGCAUGGAGAUUCCCCAAAACCCUAACCUAUGCAUCGCUAGCAUUAGCAACGCAUGCGUCCCUCUCUAACGAAAGCAACUGUCUCCCCUUCGUCUACUAGAUUUUCUAUUUGAUCUAUUUUUGAAUGAUGAUUUACAUUUUUUCUUAUUUUUAUGUGAAAUUAUUCAAAAUUUAUGUCGAUUAUGCCAACAUGGAUUAUGCUAUUUUUUGCUUAUUCUGAAUGCUGAAUUUCAUCUCAAGUUGUGGUAGUUUUUGCUUUACCUUAAUGUUGAAUUUGGAUAGGCAAAGAUUGAACCACAAAUAUAAUAUGUCCUUUUGAAUGAAUUACGUGAACCAUUAAUAUUCAAAUGACAUAGUCAACCUGCAGAAUUUCCUUAUAGAAAAUGAAGAUUGACACCCAUCUUUUAAGAAAAGCUCUUCUGAAAUAAGUUGUUCCAAACAUGGCCUGAAAUAGAAAGGUACACCAUUGAUUAGAAGAACUAAUUGAAGGAAUGGUUCAGAGUGAAAAGAUGUGAACCCCCCCCACCCUCACCCCCACCCACCCACAAACACACACACACACAAAAGGUGUGGCGUCUAAAAAUAUUCAGCUACUUAUUUCCCAUGUAUCAAUAUGUACGCUUUUGACCUUUGGUCCCAAGUCAUCGUUGAAUUAGUUUUCCUAAAAUCCCAAUCACAUGCUCAAAAUUUGGUAAUAAGGAGAAAGUUUCUCCAUAGUUAAGGGAAGGUUUCAUGCAUCAUUUACAAUAUCCCCUAGCUCAUUUGUCCAAGAUUGCUAAAAUACCUUAUAUUUCAAGACGAGGAAGAAACAUUUAUAAUGUAAAAUAAUAAGCACUAUUAGAUUAAUUAUAAGUUUAUUAUGAAUAUAUUUUUGUAAUAAACUGAUUUGGAGAUAUAAAUGUGAAGAUUAUUUACUUCAAGUAAUUUGGUCAAAUUUAAACUACUUUACAUAUACGAUUAACAUAGUUUGCAUUUUUUAUGGCCUUGUUUAGUUCACAUAAAACCAAAACAAAUUUCAAGAUUCCCCGUGACACAUAUAUAGAACAUUAAAUAUAGUUAAAAAGAUAACUAAUUGCACGGUUUGUCUGUAAUUUGCUAGACGAAUCUUUUGAGCCUAGUUAGUCUAUGGUUGGAUAAUAAUUACCAAAUACAAACGAAAAUGUUACAGUAUCCAAAAAAACUUUUCGUCUUCUCAACUAAGGCCUCACGAUUUAGAAGCAAAUUGUAUAAUUAGUUUUUAUUUUUAACUAUAUUUAAUGCUUCAUAUAUAUACUGUAAGAUUUAAUAUGAUAGGAAAUCUUAAAAAGUUUUUGAUGAACUAAACCAGGCCUAAACAACGCCGUCAGUGUGGACUUCGGAUGAAAAAAAACGAGACGUGUGUCAAGAAGCAUGCAUGUCGCAGAAUUUUCAACAAGAGACUGCAAAAGUCCGGUCAAGGCUUGCGUGCUAGCUGGUUGGGGCCUGGCUGUGGCUAAUGCACAUGCAUGCGGCUAGCUGAUUCAAGCAAAAACCACCAGAGUCCAGACUCCAGAGGUAAAGGUAGUCUUGUGGAGUGCCCCGACGACGACGACGAUACUGCAAGUGGAAGACUCUCCGGUCGACAUCUAAAGCACCACGAUGCUGGAAUUCCACAGCAGGCCACGUAUACUUUGUGAGUCUCAAAAUAACUGUUACUCACGCUUUCUAAGGAACAAUUUUGGCAAAAUAUAUAUUAAAAAAUAUUAAUAUUUAUUAUACAUAGUUAGUAUUAUUGGAAAGAUGUUUAAAUUUAAUUUUUUAAUAAAUUUAUUUAGAGAUAUAAAUAUUAAAUAUAUUUUCUAUAAAUUGAGUUAAAUCGAAAACGAUAGUUAAUAUGAGGCGGGGGAUAAAUACUAGUAUAUGGCCGCUGACGUACGCCAUCGUCGCAGCGAUGGAUGCAGAUCUUGACGGGUGUAGUACGUCGCUGUGCCUCGCUUCGUCAGAGUGGUGGUCGCCGUGGAUCCACCGAGCCGCCGCGCGCAUAGCUAGCGAGGUCGCACGUCAGCGUACGUUCCACCAGGGCGUGCACGUACUACAGCCAUCCACAUGGAUAAAGCUAGGACGUACGGGUGGGAGACCUGUGGUUUCACCAAACACCAUCUCCAACGACUCGGUAAAAUUCACUUGUCAAAUCUUGAGUUAUAGCAAGUUGCUAAUUUGUUUAGCAAAAGAAAAAAAAAGAUGUGUUUCUAAUAAGUUGCUAUUCUCACUUGGUAAAAAUAGAGGAUGACAGAUGGGACCCGCUCACUUGGUAAAAGAAUAUGUGUCUCCAACAAGUUGCGCUCGGGAUAGCAACUUGACAAAUCUCGGCAGUAGAAACCUCUGGAUAGCAACUUGGGAAAUUUAGCAAGUUGAGAUAAAGAGUUGUUGGAGGAGGAUUUUUAUGUUUUUAGCAAAUUUGGUAGGAUAGCAUGUUGAAAUACUAAGUUGUUGGAGAUACUCUGCCUCUGUUUGUAAAAAGGUACUCCCUCAAUUUUACACACGAAUAAGGAUAAAUAUUGGCAAUAUAAAUUACGAAUAAAUUUUAAGUUAUUGGGUUUAGAAAUAUAAAAAAUAUAUAAAUAGAUUUAUCUUGAAAACUAUUUUUAUAAAAAUAUACAUAUAUCUCUUUUUAAUAAAUAUUUUUAUAAAAAUAAGAACCAUAUUAUUGUCUUAAAUAACUUUUUUUACGGGUACAAGAUUAUCUAGAAUUCGUGGAAGCAGUCAGCAGUUAGUCGAGAGCUUUUUAUUAAAAAAAAGGAUUAAAUGCUGAAUUGUGUGUGCUACUGUACACAGAUGGUUUGCAUUGCAUGUGAUGCGUCCCUACCUGCUACCUUGUACAGUCGUAAGCAUGCAUGAGCCUAGUGUCUUCUGUCCUUGGAGAAAAUUCCACAUUGUCCGGCGCACCCAGAUCGAGAGACCUCCUCUAUAUAAUGCAAGCUUGUGAUCUCCAUCGAGGUAUAACAAGACACACCUCACACUACAUUCGUCACUUGGCUCUGCAUCGUUACUUUGGGAUUAGCCACUGGGGAAAUUAAUUAAAGGAGUACUCUAUUAGGGUAAGCAAAGCAACUCGAAGCUUCUCACGCGGUGGUUAUAUCAUACGUACCUGCAUGAGAAAAGCUUGGUGCCAGUAAGAUAUAAUAUAUCGAUCGAUCCGAUCGAACUCCCACUCGCUGAAUUCCUGAUUCAUAUCUCUCCACCAUGCAUAUGCAUGCAUGCAGGCAAGAAGAAGAAGAGGGCAACGAUGGCGGCGGCGAUGAUCUCCGGAGGACGGGCGGCGGCGCUGGUGCUGGCCGCGGUCGUGCUGUGCUCGGUGGCGGCCAUGGCGGCGGCGCAGCAGGCGUCGAACGUGCGGGCGACGUACCACUACUACAACCCGCAGCAGAACAACUGGAACCUCAACGCCGUCAGCGCCUACUGCUCCACCUGGGACGCCGGCAAGCCGCUGGCGUGGCGGCAGAAGUACGGCUGGACGGCCUUCUGCGGGCCCGCGGGGCAGAAGGGGCAGGCCGCCUGCGGCAAGUGCAUCCGGGUGACGAACCGCGCGACGGGGGCGGCCAUCACGGCGAGGAUCGUGGACCAGUGCAGCAAUGGCGGCCUCGACCUGGACUACGAGACGGUGUUCAAGAAGAUCGACACCAACGGGCAGGGAUACCAGAUGGGACACCUCAACGUCAACUACCAGUUCGUCGCCUGCUGAUUGAUGAUCACUUUCAUCACCCACUCCAUCAUCAAGUACUACAGUACACAUGUAAUAACAAGCCAUGAUAUAUAUGAUGCAUGCAUGGCGUGAUCGAUGAAUAAAACCGAUGGGAUAGAUAGCUCUGC
rnacentral:lncRNA from 1 species